rnacentral:rRNA from 1 species
GCACAACGCGAAGAACCUUACCAGCCCUUGACAUACCGGUCGCGGAUUACAGAGAUGUUUUCCAUCAGUUCGGCUGGACCGGAUACAGGUGCUGCAUGGCUGUCGUCAGCUCGUGUCGUGAGAUGUUGGGUUAAGUCCCGCAACGAGCGCAACCCUCGCCCUUAGUUGCCAGCAUUCAGUUGGGCACUCUAAGGGGACUGCCGGUGAUAAGCCGAGAGGAAGGUGGGGAUGACGUCAAGUCCUCAUGGCCCUUACGGGCUGGGCUACACACGUGCUACAAUGGUGGUGACAGUGGGCAGCGAGACAGCGAUGUCGAGCUAAUCUCCAAAAGCCAUCUCAGUUCGGAUUGCACUCUGCAACUCGAGUGCAUGAAGUUGGAAUCGUUAGUAAUCGCGGAUCAGAAUGCCGCGGUGAAUACGUUCCCGGGUCUUGUACACACC